GCAAAACGCGAAGAACCUUACCAGGUCUUGACAUCCUCUGACAACUCUAGAGAUAGAGCGUUCCCCUUCGGGGGACAGAGUGACAGGUGGUGCAUGGUUGUCGUCAGCUCGUGUCGUGAGAUGUUGGGUUAAGUCCCGCAACGAGCGCAACCCUUGAUCUUAGUUGCCAGCAUUCAGUUGGGCACUCUAAGGUGACUGCCGGUGACAAACCGGAGGAAGGUGGGGAUGACGUCAAAUCAUCAUGCCCCUUAUGACCUGGGCUACACACGUGCUACAAUGGAUGGUACAAAGGGCUGCAAGACCGCGAGGUCAAGCCAAUCCCAUAAAACCAUUCUCAGUUCGGAUUGUAGGCUGCAACUCGCCUACAUGAAGCUGGAAUCGCUAGUAAUCGCGGAUCAGCAUGCCGCGGUGAAUACGUUCCCGGGUCUUGUACACACCG
rnacentral:rRNA from 1 species